rnacentral:rRNA from 1 species
GAUGAACGCUGGCGGCAGGCCUUACACAUGCAAGUCGAACGGUAACAUAGGAAGCUUGCUUCCUGAUGACGAGUGGCAAACGGGUGAGUAACACGUAAGUACUUUUCUUAAGCUUGGGAUAGCCUAUCGAAAGGUAGGGUAAUACCGAAUGUGACCGAAAGGUUAAAGGCUUCGGCCACUUAAGGCAAGGCUUGCGUCCUAUCAGCUUGUUGGUGAGGUAAUAGCUCACCAAGGCUUAGACGGGUAGCUGGUCUGAGAGGAUGAUCAGCCACACUGGGACUGCGACACGGCCCAGACACCUACGGGUGGCAGCAGUGGGGAAUCUUCGGCAAUGGGCGAAAGCCUGACCGAGCCAUGCCGCGUGCAGGAUUAAGGCAUUAUUUGUCGUAAACUGCUGUGGUAGUUAACUAAUAAAUGAAGUGACUACUAGAAAGAGGUUGCUAAUUCAG